AAGGGAUGUUGUAGCCACGCUUAUAGCAUAGAAGUGUAACAAGAAAUGUGAAGCCAAUGACAACAGCGUUCAGGAAACACAGUUGGUAUCCUUUGAUAGUGAAGUAAUAAAAUUGGACUGUAGCAGCACACUUUGGUUCAGAAACCUCCCUUUUGAGAUUAAAUAUUGCUAUUCCACAGUGAUGAAAGAGAUGUUCUCUACUUCCAAGUUAUACUGUGCUUUAAAGUUUUGUCAAAGUAAAAGAGCUUAUACAAUGAUGAUUUCAGACUUUUGUGUGAAGUAGUGUUGACAUCAGAAGAGCCACAAAUUCAAAGAGACUCAUGAGAAAGUUAAUGUAUCUCUGCAUAUUUUAUUAUAUCUACAUGGUGCUGGAGGAAAAAAUUAAACUUCUUGGUAAUGCUGCUG